GGCGAGAUGGCCGAGCGGUCUAAGGCGCUGUGUUAAGGUGUAUCUGCUUCUCUUACGAAGCAGCUCAUCCGCAGUCUUCGGACGUGGGUUCGAAUCCCACUCUCGUCA